UACGUAGGGGGCAAGCGUUGUCCGGAUUUAUUGGGCGUAAAGAGCGUGUAGGCGGCCUUGCAGGUCCGUUGUGAAAACUCGAGGCUCAACCUCGAGACGCCGAUGGAAACCAUGUGGCUAGAGUACGGAAGAGGAGAGUGGAAUUCCUGGUGUAGCGGUGAAAUGCGCAGAUAUCAGGAAGAACACCCGUGGCGAAGGCGGCUCUCUAGUACGGUACUGACGCUGAGACGCGAAAGCGUGGGGAGCGAACAGG
rnacentral:rRNA from 1 species